rnacentral:misc_RNA from 1 species
GAUGAAGAACGUAGCGAAAUGCGAUACGUAAUGUGAAUUGCAGAAUUCAGUGAAUCAUCGAGUCUUUGAACGCACAUUGCGCCCCCUGGUAUUCCGGGGGGCAUGCCUGCCCGAGCGUCAUUGCUGCCCUCAAGCACGGCUUGUGUGUUGGGCCUCCGCCCCCCGGCUCCCGGGGGGCGGGCCCGAAAGGCAGCGGCGGCACCGCGUCCGGUCCUCGAGCGUAUGGGGCUUCGUCACCCGCUCCGUAGGCCCGGCCGGCGCCCGCCGGCGACCCCCCUCAAUCUUUCCAGGUUGACCUCGGAUCAGGUAGGGAUACCCGCUGAACUUAAGCAUAUCAAUAAGCGGAGGA